CGUCUGAAAGGAAGGCUUUUGACCGUGUACCACACAGACGCCUCCUAGUUAAACUGGACUACUACGGUGUGAGAGGGAGUACACUCGGCUGGAUCAAAGCCUUCCUUUCAGACCGAACACAAAGAGUAACCGUUGAUGGUGCCACAUCGGACGCAGAGGCUGUAGUUAGCGGCGUUUCACAGGGCAGUGUAUUGGGCCCAAUAUUAUUUCUGGCAUUCAUCAACGACCUACCACAACAAGUGUCAUCCAAAACAAGGCUUUUUGCAGACGACUGUAUUGUCUACAGACAAAUCAACUCUGCAGCAGACUCUGACAUCCUAGAACAAUACCUGAAGAACCUGGCUGCUUGGGAGAAGAAAUGGGGCAUGUCUUUCCAUCCAGAAAAGUGCAGUAUACUCAGAGUCCACCGAAAGAAGAAACCGAUCAUGUUCAGCUACACACUUAAAGGCCAUAUCCUACAAACAGACACUGUAUCCAAAUAUUUAGGCGUAAACAUCACAGAAAACCUCUCCUGGACACACAUACCGACAAAAUGUCAAAGAAGGCAAAUAGUUCCCUUGGGUUUUAAGACGCAACCUCAGAAUCUCAAACGAGAAGUAAAAGCAAAAGCCUAUUCAACCAUGGUGCGACCGAGCUAGAAUUCUGUUCAACAAUCUGGAGCCCCAUGCAAAGACCAAUAUACAGAAGCUGUA
rnacentral:sRNA from 1 species